GACGAACGCUGGCGGCGUGCUUAACACAUGCAAGUCGAACGGAAAGGCCCCUUUGGGGGUACUCGAGUGGCGAACGGGUGAGUAACACGUGAGUAACCUGCCCUUGACUUCGGGAUAACUUCAGGAAACUGGGGCUAAUACCGGCUAGGAAUCCUUGCUGCAUGGUGGGGGUUGGAAAGCUUCGGCGGUUUUGGAUGGACUCGCGGCUUAUCAGCUUGUUGGUGGGGUAGUGGCUUACCAAGGCUUUGACGGGUAGCCGGCCUGAGAGGGCGACCGGCCACAUUGGGACUGGGAUACGGCCCAGACUCCUACGGGAGGCAGCAGUGGGGAAUAUUGCACAAUGGGCGGAAGCCUGAUGCAGCAACGCCGCGUGCGGGAUGACGGCCUUCGGGUUGUAAACCGCUUUCAGCAGGGGCGAAGCUUGUGGUGACGGUACCUGCAGAAGAAGCACCGGCUAACUACGUG
rnacentral:rRNA from 1 species